rnacentral:misc_RNA from 1 species
AUGAGUUUGAGAUGAAGGAUUUGGAUGCUGCAAAGAAGAUAUUGGUAAUGGAAAUUAUCAGGGAUAGAAGUGUUGGGAAGCUUUUCUUGUCUCAGUAGGCCUAUAUUGAGAAAGUGCUUAAGCGUUUUAAUAUGAAUAAUGCUAAGCCUGUAACUGUUCCGUUUGCUGUCCAUUUCAAGUUAUCUAUAGACAUGUCACCAAAAACAAAUGAGGAGAUGGAGCACAUGUCCAGUGUUCCCUAUUCGAGUGCUGUUGGUAGCAUCAUGUAUGCUAUGGUAUGCACCCGACCUGACAUUUCACAUGUAGUUAGUGUUGUGAGUAAAUACAUGGCGUGUCCUGGGAAAGA